GGCUAGUCAAAUGCAGAUGUGUUCACAACUAGUUGAUCAAAACCAGUUAGAGAUUUCUUUGUUCCUUCUCUACUCCCAGUUCCUCACUUGACAAGCCUGAA
ensembl:misc_RNA Y_RNA Y RNA